rnacentral:lncRNA from 1 species
AGAUUUGCAGGAAUCAUAAUAACUGUGUGGAGAAUCUUCCUGAAGUUUUAGGAGGAACCUGAGUCAUAAUUUGAGGCUGAAUCAGAGAAAACAAGUGUUUGCGCUUUUCUGCCACAGAG